rnacentral:rRNA from 1 species
CCUACGGGAGGCAGCAGUGGGGAAUAUUGCACAAUGGGGGAAACCCUGAUGCAGCGACGCCGCGUGAGCGAAGAAGUAUUUCGGUAUGUAAAGCUCUAUCAGCAGGGAAGAAAAUGACGGUACCUGAGUAAUAAGCUCUGGCUAAUUACGUGCCAGCUGCCGCGGUAAUACGUAUGGAGCAAGCGUUAUCCGGAUUUACUGGGUGUAAAGGGAGCGCAGGCGGGCUUGCAAGUCUGAUGUGAAAGACCGGGGCUCAACCCCGGUGCUGCAUUGGAAACUGUGAGGCUGGAGUGUAGGAGAGGCAGGCGGAAUUCCUAGUGGAGCGGUUAAAUGCGUAGAUAUUAGGAGGAACACCGGUGGCGAAGGCAGCCUGCUGGACGAUGACUGACGCUGAGGCUCGAAAGCGUGGGGAGCAAACAGGAUGAGAGACCCCAGUAGUC